AGAGUUUGAUCAUGGCUCAGGAUAAACGCUGGCGGCGCACAUAAGUCAUGCAAGUCGAACGAACUUAACUCAUUCUUUUAGUUUGAGAGCGGUUAGUGGCGGACUGGUGAGUAACACGUAAGCAACCUGCCUAUUAGAGGGGAAUAACAGUGAGAAAUCAUUGCUAAUACCGCAUAUGCUAACAGUAUCGCAUGAUACAGUUAGGAAAGGAGUAAUCCGCUAAUAGAUGGGCUUGCGCCUGAUUAGCUAGUUGGUGGGGCAAUGGCCUACCAAGGCGACGAUCAGUAGCCGGACUGAGAGGUUGAACGGCCACAUUGGGACUGAGAUACGGCCCAGACUCCUACGGGAGGCAGCAGUCGGGAAUAUUGCGCAAUGGAGGAAACUCUGACGCAGUGACGCCGCGUAUAGGAAGAAGGUUUUCGGAUUGUAAACUAUUGUCGUUAGGGAAGAUACAAGACAGUACCUAAGGAGGAAGCCCCGGCUAACUAUGUGCCAGCAGCCGCGGUAAUACAUAGGGGGCAAGCGUUAUCCGGAAUUAUUGGGUGUAAAGGGUGCGUAGACGGAGGAGCAAGUUGGUUGUGAAAUCCCUCGGCUUAACUGAGGAACUGCAACCAAAACUACUUCCCUUGAGUGUCGGAGAGGAAAGUGGAAUUCCUAGUGUAGCGGUGAAAUGCGUAGAUAUUAGGAGGAACACCAGUGGCGAAGGCGACUUUCUGGACGAUAACUGACGUUGAGGCACGAAAGUGUGGGGGAGCAAACAGGAUUAGAUACCCUGGUAGUCCACACCGUAACGAUGGAUA
rnacentral:rRNA from 1 species